ensembl:lncRNA
CUGCAGCUCUUCAGCAGGCCCUCCCGAGGUCCAGGUCGGAGGCCCUGAGAGGCAGACGUGGCCGCAGUUUGUCCAGCUCCCUCCCACUCUGGGUUCUGCUCUUCUUCCCAAGUGCAGGUACAGCCAACCUACAGCAUCCACGGGCUCCCCCGCCACCACCCCGGGGGCAAAGCCAGCAGCUCUUCACAGAUGCUUCAACAGCUCCCUCGGCUGCAGAAAUUCUAAUCGCUGCAUCACUCAUAGUGGUUCUGCCCUUCUGAUGAGACUCUCAUACAGCAUCCAAGUGAGAUACCGAGUAGGUGCUGGCUGUGAGUCUCAAGUUCAAGGGAAAUGGUCCCAGAUGGGUGUUAAAUUGGGGAAUUGUUGCCACGUGACUGGUAUUUAAAGCCAUAAGCCUGGGUUAGGUCACCCAAAGAGAGCUUUCAAGCAGGAGAGGAGGUCCACCGCCCUGGGAGCUCCAUGGUACAGAGAUGGGGGCAGGAGGGAACAGCCAAGGAGACCGAGAGCCACCAGUGAGACAGAAGGAAACCCUGAGCACUCGUGGCUCAAGGCGAAGGAGGAACGUCAGGAGGAGCCUGAGCUUGACCAUGUCUGCUGAGAUGAGUUUGGAGAGCGGACUGCCGUGCCUGAAGGCUAUGCAUUUUGUGUAGUCAUCGGCUGUCUUUAAAGGCAGCGCUGACAUUUCCCGUGGCUGGUGACUGCUCUGCACAGCAGCUGGUUAUCUGAUCUGUCUGGUUAACAAGUUCCUCUUUGACAUUUAAUAAACUGCAGUGAUUUCA